rnacentral:rRNA from 1 species
UACGUAGGGGGCUGGCGUUGUCCGGAAUCAUUGGGCGUAAAGCGCGUGUAGGCGGUCCGGUAAGUCCGCUGUGAAAGUCGAGGGCUCAACCUCGAAUGCCGGUGGAUACUGUCGGGCUUGAGUACGGGAGAGGCGAGUGGAAUUCCUGGUGUAGCGGUGAAAUGCGCAGAUAUCAGGAGGAACACCGAUUGCGAAGGCAGCUCGCUGGAACGUUACUGACGCUGAGACGCGAAAGCGUGGGGAGCAAACAGG